GACGAACGCUGGCGGCGUGCUUAACACAUGCAAGUCGAACGGAAAGGCCCUGCUUUUGUGGGGUGCUCGAUUGCCGAACGGGUGAGUAUCACGUGUGUAACCUCCCCUUGUCUUUCGGAUAACUUCUCGAAACUGGGGCUAAUACCCCGUAUGAGAUCCUGAUCCAUGGUGGGGGUUGGAAAGUUUCGGCGGUUGGGGCUGGAUUCGAGGCUUAUCCGCUUGUUGGUGAGGUAGUGGCUUACCAAGGCUUUGAAGGGUAGCCGGCCUGAGAGGGUGACCGGCCACAUGGGGACUGAGGGAGGGCCCAGACUCCUACGGGAGGCAGCAGUGGGGAAUAUUGCACAAUGGGCGGAAGCCUGAUGCAGCAACGCCGCGUGCGGGAUGACGGCCUUCGGGUUGUAAACCGCUUUCGCCGGUGACGAAGAGUGAGUGACGGUAAUGGGUAAAGAAGCACCGGCUAACUACGUG
rnacentral:rRNA from 1 species